rnacentral:tRNA from 1 species
GAGGGUAGAGCUCAGUGGUAGAGUAUGUGCCUAGCAUGCAUGAGGUCCUGGGUUCAAUCCCCAGUGCCUCCA